rnacentral:rRNA from 1 species
AUUGAACGCUGGCGGAAUGCUUUACACAUGCAAGUCGAACGGCAGCACGGGAGCUUGCUCCUGGUGGCGAGUGGCGAACGGGUGAGUAACAUAUCGGAACGUAUCCAAUAAUGGGGGAUAACUAAGCGAAAGCUUGGCUAAUACCGCAUACGCCCUGAGGGGGAAAGCUAGGGAUCUUCGGACCUGGCGUUGAUGGAUCGGCCGAUAUCUGAUUAGCUAGUUGGUGGGGUAAAGGCUCACCAAGGCGACGAUCAGUAGCUGGUCUGAGAGGACGACCAGCCACACUGGAACUGAGACACGGUCCAGACUCCUACGGGAGGCAGCAGUGGGGAAUUUUGGACAAUGGGCGCAAGCCUGAUCCAGCCAUUCCGCGUGAGUGAAGAAGGCCUUCGGGUUGUAAAGCUCUUCCGCAAGGGAAGGAAGAUUACGCUCUAACAUAGCGUGAUUAUGACGGUACCUUGAUAAGAAGCACCGGCUAACUACGUGCCAGCAGCCGCAGUAAAAC